AUUCCAGCUCCAAUAGCGUAUAUUAAAGUUGUUGCAGUUAAAAAGCUCGUAGUCGGAUUUUGGUACCAAGCCGAACGGUCUGCCGAACGGUAUGCACUGUUUAGCGGGUACUUCCUUCCGGAAGCCCGUGCUCUCCUUAAUUGGAUGGCACGGCGAGUCCGGAUCAUUUACUUUGAAAAAAUUAGAGUGUUCAAAGCAGGCCUAUGCUCUGAAUAGCUUAGCAUGGAAUAAUAGAAUAGGACUUCGGUACUAUUUUGUUGGUUUCUAGGACCGAAGUAAUGAUUAAUAGGGACAGUUGGGGGCAUUUAUAUUCCAUUGUCAGAGGUGAAAUUCUUGGAUUAACGGAAGAUAAACUACUGCGAAAGCAUCUGCCAAGGAUGUUUUCAUUG
rnacentral:rRNA from 1 species